AUUGAACGCUGGCGGCAUGCUUUACACAUGCAAGUCGAACGGUAACAGGGAGCUUGCUCCGCUGACGAGUGGCGAACGGGUGAGUAAUGCGUCGGAACGUGCCGAGUAGUGGGGGAUAACGCAGCGAAAGUUGUGCUAAUACCGCAUACGUACUGAGGUAGAAAGUGGGGGACCUUCGGGCCUCACGCUAUUCGAGCGGCCGACGUCUGAUUAGCUAGUUGGUGAGGUAAAGGCUCACCAAGGCGACGAUCAGUAGCGGGUCUGAGAGGAUGAUCCGCCACACUGGGACUGAGACACGGCCCAGACUCCUACGGGAGGCAGCAGUGGGGAAUUUUGGACAAUGGGCGCAAGCCUGAUCCAGCCAUGCCGCGUGUCUGAAGAAGGCCUUCGGGUUGUAAAGGACUUUUGUCCGGGAGCAAAUGCUGGUGGCUAACAUCCACCGGAGCUGAGAGUACCGGAAGAAUAAGCACCGGCUAACUCUGUGCCAGCCGCCGCCGUAAAAC
rnacentral:rRNA from 1 species